rnacentral:piRNA from 1 species
UAGUUCUCACUUGGAAUAGUCUGUGACUU